GCUCUAAUGCGUCUGUUUGUCUCUCACUUUGUGACUGUCUCUCUCUCGCGCCUCUUCGGCUGCCUCUCUCGUUCGCUCGCUUUUGUCUCCAUUGCCAUCGGAUACAAAAGCAUUACCCCCAUCACACACGAGCACCACUGUCAAUCCACCAUUGGAGCAUUACCCUAGUGUCUUGGAUCUAAAAUGCAACCCUGUGGAACCAAUUUUUGUUUUUGCAGCAGCAUCUAGAGGGAUGCGAAUUCAAUGGUGUUGCUUGCAAGUUCUAAGCUUUCUGCAUUAAAAUCAUUAACUAUCUUAUCCAUGAAUGAGGAAGAUAUUUUAAUAACUAUGGAUGUUGAAUUUUCAUUCUGCAAUGAACUUCUUUGAUACAUUAUUGAUUUGAUGUUUGGGAUGAAGAUGUUUUUGGUCUUGAGUAUGACCCGGAUCUCUUCAAUAUUGUUGUUGUUCUAGAUUUUAACAUGGGAGCCAUGGAAAGCAAGAGCUUGAAUAUAUUCAAUUCCAAGCUUGUUUUCGUAUCUCCAGAAACUGUUACAGAUGCAGAUUAUGUUGUAAUUUUAGGAGCUAUUGGCCAUGAGGUUUGUCAUUUAUCUCAUAAGAAGCAUAAACUUAGAUAUUUGUUUUUAAUUUGUAUUAAAAUGGGUCUUAUUUAUUAUGUAUAUUGUAGUAUUUUCUUGUGUAUAUUGUAGAAAUCUAGAAACACACUAAUGAGGCUACUGCCAAAGUUAAAGUUGUGCUAGCGAGAGCUGAAGAACAAGGGCAAAUGAUCGAAUCACUUCACACCUCGGUCCUGGAUCCUUUCUUUAAUCCUUACACCCGAAGAGCUAUGUGAGUGGUAUU